GGGGACGGUGUCAAAACAUUGAUUAUAGAUAAAAAUUAAAUCAUGUGCGUCUUGGUGAAUUCAAAUCACAUUUACGUAACAUCCUAAUAUUAUGACAUUUGCUUUUGUGAUAUUGUUGACUAUCAUACGACUUGAAAGUUGUACGCGUGUAAUAGUGGGUGGGAUAGAAAAAGGGGGGCUGAGAGUUAUACAAGUUCAUUCGAUUCUAGAUUGAUUAUAUAUAUACAUAGUAAGACAGUUAGAUAAUAAUUUUAUUGUUGUAUUACAGUUCAUGAAAAAGUUUAAUGUAUGGCUUUAUUAAUCCCACACAACGCUCUAUUGUCUGAUUGAUUUCUUCUCUCGGGUGUCUCCAUAAGCUUCCAUUGACUCUGAAAGUUUUGAAGCGCCUUAUAUCGUGUUUGACAUAUACCCGCCACUCUUAUAUACGCAAAUUCAUUUGUUUUUUACAUUUUCUUCUUUCUGCUCGUCGUUUAGCUCUUAGUUGAUGCCUUUUUCAAAUCUAA
rnacentral:lncRNA from 1 species